rnacentral:lncRNA from 1 species
GGUAUCACCAUCAACACUAUAUGCCAUUGCCUGUGUCAUGGAGGGGGUGCCGUUCAUCAAUGGGAGCCCCCAGAACACCUUUGUGCCUGGUGCGUGGUUUGGUGUGUUUGCAAAAGCUUCAUGGUGUUGCAUUUCUGUUCCAAAGUUUCAUGGUGUUGUAUUUCUGUUCCAAGGCUUAUUAUACCUGUUGCAUGUUCGUAGGGCUGAUUGAUCUUGCUAUAAAAAACAACUGCUUGAUUGGUGGUGACGACUUCAAGAGUGGACAGACCAAGAUGAAAUCUGUCUUGGUCGAUUUCCUUGUUGGUGCUGGAAUAAAGGUGGGAACCUAGUAUCUCUCUUCUAUUAAGAUGAAGUGUUUUUUUGGCAAAUGACGUUAUUGCAAUAACUCUUCUAUAUUUUCAUUUUCAUGCAGCCCACCUCAAUCGUGAGCUACAACCACUUGGGAAACAACGAUGGCAUGAACCUGUCUGCCCCUCAAACAUUCAGGUCCAAGGAGAUCUCCAAGAGCAACGUGGUGGAUGACAUGGUCUCGAGCAAUGCCAUCCUCUAUGAGCCCGGCGAGCAUCCCGAUCAUGUCGUUGUCAUCAAGGUCUGUUAGCUGAUCUUUCACCUCGUUAAAAGUUGACAUAUGCAAGGCAGAUUUACAUUGAAACUUGUCACUCUUUUGUUGCAGUAUGUGCCGUACGUGGGAGACAGCAAGAGGGCUAUGGACGAGUACACCUCAGAGAUCUUCAUGGGCGGCAAGAACACCAUCGUGCUGCACAACACCUGUGAGGACUCGCUCCUCGCCGCACCUAUCAUCCUUGAUCUGGUGCUCUUGGCUGAGCUCAGCACCAGGAUCCAGCUGAAAGCUGAGGGAGAGGUAAGAGCCCCCCAAGUGAUUAACCUGAAAGCACGCUGCACGCUAGGUGAUAUAGCACUUUUAAUACCUUCUGGUGUCUCUCUUAUGCAGGACAAAUUCCACUCCUUCCACCCGGUGGCCACCAUCCUGAGCUACCUCACCAAGGCACCCCUGGUAAGCCUUUUCUCCUGCAUCCCGGCAUCACUGCACUGCGUUUUGCUUCAAUCCAGCCACUGAUCGUCUCUCUCGAAACCUGAACAACAGGUUCCCCCUGGCACACCGGUGGUGAACGCUCUGGCCAAGCAGAGGGCGAUGCUGGAG